rnacentral:rRNA from 1 species
GACGAACGCUGGCGGCGUGCCUAAUACAUGCAAGUCGAGCGAACAGACGAGGAGCUUGUUCCUCUGACGUUAGCGGCGGACGGGUGAGUAACACGUGGAUAACCUACCUAUAAGACUGGGAUAACUUCGGGAAACCGGAGCUAAUACCGCAUAAUAUCUUGAAACACAUGGUUUAAUAGUGAAAGACGGAAUUGCUGUCACUUAUAGAUGGAUCCGCGCCGCAUUAGGUAGUUGGUAAGGAAAAGGCCUACCAAGGGAACGAUGCGUAGCCGACCUGAGAGGGGGGAUGGCCCAAACGGGACGGGGGAAAGGCUCAAGACUCCUAGGGAGGGAGCAGGAAGGGAAUCUCCGGCAAUGGGGGAAGGCUGAACGAAGCAAGGCGGCGUGAUGAAGGAGGGUCUCGGGUUCGUAAAACUUGUUUGUUGGGGAGAAACAAAGGUGGAGGUAACAAUGCACGUAGUGACGGUAACUAAUCAGAAAGCCACGGCUAACUACGUG